GACGAGGGAUCCUAGCGUUGUUCGGAAUUAUUGGGCGUAAAGCGGGUGCAGGUGGCCUUGUAAGUCGAGUGUGAAAGCCUAGGGCUUAACCCUAGAAGUGCAUUCGAUACUGCGAGGCUUGAGUGUUGGAGAGGUUAUUAGAAUUCCUGGUGUAGUGGUGAAAUACGUAGAUAUCAGGAGGAAUACCGGAGGCGAAGGCGGAUAACUGGCCAAACACUGACGCUCAGACCCGAAAGCGUGGGGAUCAAACAGG
rnacentral:rRNA from 1 species